rnacentral:lncRNA from 1 species
UUCAUGAUGAUGUCCAAGAUUUCACACUCAUCUGGUCCUGGAGGCCCCACAGGUCCAGGUGGUCCCGGGCGGCCUUCAGGACCCCUGUGGCCCUUUGCUCCUUUGAUCCCACUGGGACCAGCGGUUGGGUUAUCAUUGCCAGGGUCUCCAGCUUCUCCUUCAUCACCUUUAGGACCAACAUAUCCUUUUGUUCCAUUAAUGCCAGGGUCCCCUCUGUCUCCUUGCUGCCCAGGGGCACCCGGGAAUCCAAUUGUGCCAUUACCAGGAGGACCAUCCUCGCCCCUUUCUCCCAUUAGGCCAGGAUCUCCAGGCAACCCAGGUGCUCCAGGCGAUCCCUUGGGGCCCUCAUUGCCACGGGGGCCAUCAUCUCCUCUGUAGCCCUUUGGUCCUGGGGGCCCAGGCUCACCCUGGUCUCCAGGUGGUCCAAGAGGUCCUUCCCGCCCCUGGUCACCAGGUGGUCCAGGCUCUCCCAGAUCUCCUCGUGGCCCACGGUCACCUGGCGAGCCUGGGGGUCCUCUUUCUCCAUUGCUGCCCCGCUCUCCUGGAGGACCAUCUGCGCCUGGGGAGCCCUCAUCCCCUGUCUCCCCUAAGGGUCCAGGCUCUCCCCUGUUGCCAGGAGCACCCUUCUCUCCAGGGCUACCAGGAAUGCCCUGCCGGCCAGGUUUUCCAUCUUCCCCAGGCUCCCCCUUUCCUCCCUUGGGUCCAUAAGCACCAGGAUCGCCCUUUGGUCCAGGUGGGCCCUGAGUUCCAUCAAAUCCAGGUGAGCCUUUGCAGCCAGGUAGCCCAGGGUAUCCAGCUUCUCCCUUCAUGCCAUCAAUGCCGUCAAUCCCACGCUUGCCCUUCUCACCCUUGGCUCCUUUGGCUCCUCUCGAGCCCUUUUCUCCUCGACUUCCUUUGUCGCCCUUCAUUCCUUGGUAGCCAACGGGCCCCAUGUCCCCUGGCCUGCCAGGGUCUCCAGCAUCUCCCUUCUGACCAGGAAGACCUGGCUUUCCUCUUUCUCCCUCGUGGCCUGGGUCACCAGGAGGUCCUGGGGGUCCUCGGGGAGGAUGGCACUCAAAGGAGCAGCACGAUUGCUCCAUGUUGUCUUUAAUCAUCUCAAUGAUGUUGUUGAUGGUCUCCUCCACAUCAAGAUCCCGGGUUGGCUUCAGGCUUGUGGCAGUGAAGUUGCGGCGGUAGGCAUGGUCUGUGGCAAUGAUGUUGAGACGUUGGUCCAGGUGGUGGGGUGAGAUGGCGACAGAGAACACUUUGAUCCCCAAAUGUUUGGCUUCAUUAGCAGCAUCAUCCAGGCCUCCGCAGGGCUCCUUGUACCCCUCCAAAGGGUGUCCAUCAGUCACCACGAUCAGGUAUUUAUUCUCCUUGAGAUGGGAGCCACCCAAGAGCAGCCGCUCGAUGCCCUGCUUGAUGGCGCAGUCAGUGUGGGUGCCUUUCCCAAUGUAGUUGAUGGCUGACACGCUGUUCUUCAGCUCAGCCCUGCCGCUGGGCAUGGCAGUGAGGUCCUUGAUGAUGACGACAGAGUCGCUGUAGUGCAGAGCCCCAGCGUUCCAUGCCAGGAAGCGGUCACAGCGGAAGUACCUUUCGGUCAACUUAUCGAUGAAGCGGUUGGUGAAGUCUUUAACUUGCGCCACGAGGUCCCCGAAGGGCUUCACCCUCAGGGCGACACUUUCAGAGGUGUCCAGCACAAAGAACAGGUCCACGGGGCAGUCCUGAGCCCUGAGGACACGGGCGUUGAUUUCAGCCUGCUGAGCCCAGGCACCCCCCAGAAGAAGCAGCAGCGCCAAGAAGGAGUCGUGCAGCCCCAUGUCGCUGGGCUCAGAUUCACAUCGAGCUGCAGCGAAGGGAGGAAGGAGGGAGAGGCCGUGUCCGGGUCUGGGGGUGGUUUCAGCGCUUGGGACCCGGGGAAGGAAGAGCGGGCGCGGGGGAGAGGGCGAGGAGGAGACUCCGCAGCCGGGAUGGAGGGUGGGACCAGGGCUGUCCGUGCUGACUCAGAAGCCAGCCUGCGCUUCUCCUCGCUGUCUUUCUGUGCUCCUUGUACCCGCGCGCUCCUGCCGAAGGACUCUGCUGUCCCCCAGCUGCGCCCUGGGGGCUCGGAGCCCUGAGCUGAGCCCAACGGGGAUUGGAGGAAGGCAGCCUGCUGCAUCCUAGAUAGGCAGGAGCUGCACUCUGCUGCCUGCUAAGCAGGGUACCCACUGCAGGGCACAUCUGGGCAGGGGGCAUGGCACGGGCACCAGGUUCAGCCUGGGAAGUGGCUUCCUCCUCUGCUCUCAGGGCUUUCUGCCCUUUCUCCCAGAGAGUCAAGAUGAGACCCCCCACACACACAGACAGACAGACAGAGUGACCCCCAGCCACACCCUGCCCAUGGGUGCUGAAGCUGGUACCCCAGCCAUUAGGUUUAUCUGCAGUGCUCUGGAUGCUGGCCUUGGGUGCCCAGUGGGAGCCAUGAGGAUCCACAGCAGCACUGGGACCCACAGCUCUUGCAGACAGCCUGCACUCCAUGUCUGGCUCAGGGGGUGAGCCCCACACUGCUCAGCCUGACCCUGCCUUGUGCUGAGGUCAAGGCUUUCAACUGGUGGAGCAGGUACUGCCCAACCCUCAUCACGGAGCAGCAUUCACUGCCACCUGGGAGAGAAGGGAAACACUGGAGCUGUUCCUACUACAGCCCUAGCCUGCUCCCAAGGACAUUUGCAACCUUUCAUGGUAUGGGAGGGGGCAAAUGGACGGGUUAUCCAGGCCAAGGGGUACUUUACUAGAAAGAAACCCAGAGAGGAGUAAUGUGAGCACAUGGCAGCAGGAUAGCACCAUUUAGGAGUUGACAGCAUGAACCCAGCCAAUACCAAUGACCUGCACACAGACAAGUUGCGAAGGGCAGCAUUUGCUCUCCUGCUUACACAGUGUUGUGCUUCUGCACCUGCACGGCCAUUCCAGAGGAGCUCCUUCACUCGCUGGAGGUGACUGUUCAGGUUCCUUGCCAGUUUGCUCAGGACAGUCCUACUCCUCAUUCUCCAGCACAUGGAGAUGUGCACUGGGAUCUUGGCCUUUCCCUGGGAGUCAUCAUACCCAGACCCAGAGGCUUCUCCUCAAACAUCAC